rnacentral:rRNA from 1 species
AACGGCGAGUGAAGCGGCAACAGCUCAAAUUUGAAAUCUGGCGUAAGCCCGAGUUGUAAUUUGUAGAGGAUGCUUCUGGGUAGCGGCCGGUCUAAGUUCCUUGGAACAGGACGUCAUAGAGGGUGAGAAUCCCGUAUGUGACUGGCUUGCACCCUCCACGUAGCUCCUUCGACGAGUCGAGUUGUUUGGGAAUGCAGCUCUAAAUGGGAGGUAAAUUUCUUCUAAAGCUAAAUACCGGCCAGAGACCGAUAGCGCACAAGUAGAGUGAUCGAAAGAUGAAAAGCACUUUGGAAAGAGAGUUAAAAAGCACGUGAAAUUGUUGAAAGGGAAGCGCCCGCAACCAGACUUUGCGGCGGUGUUCGGCUGGUCUUCUGACCGGUUUACUCGCCGCCGUGAGGCCAUCAUCGUCUGGGACCGCUGGAUAAGACCUGAGGAAUGUAGCUCCCUUCGGGGUGUGUUAUAGCCUCUGGUGAUGCAGCGCGUCUCGGGCGAGGUCCGCGCUUCGGCAAGGAUGAUGGCGUAAUGGUUGUCGGCGGCCCGUCUUGAAACACGGACCAAGGAGUCUAACAUCUAUGCGAGUGUUCGGGUGUCAAACCCCUACGCGUAAUGAAAGUGAACGGAGGUGGGAACUUUUUGUGCACCAUCGACCGAUCCUGAUGUCCUCGGAUGGAUUUGAGUAAGAGCAUAGCUGUUGGGACCCGAAAGAUGGUGAACUAUGCCUGAAUAGGGUGAAGCCAGAGGAAACUCUGGUGGAGGCUCGCAGCGGUUCUGACGUGCAAAUCGAUCGUCAAAUUU